UACGAAGGGGGCUAGCGUUGCUCGGAAUUACUGGGCGUAAAGCGCACGUAGGCGGGUCGGUAAGUCGGGGGUGAAAUCCUGGAGCUCAACUCCAGAACUGCCCUCGAAACUACUGAUCUUGAGUUCGGGAGAGGUGAGUGGAACUGCGAGUGUAGAGGUGAAAUUCGUAGAUAUUCGCAAGAACACCAGUGGCGAAGGCGGCUCACUGGCCCGAUCCUGACGCUGAGGUGCGAAAGCGUGGGGAGCAAACAGG
rnacentral:rRNA from 1 species